rnacentral:tRNA from 1 species
CCGAGGGCUGGGCACGAGUGAGCCUAACCGCCUGUAAAGCGGCCGUCUUAGACUGUGGGAGUGCAAAUUCUCUCCCCUCGGACCA